UUAUGGCUCCAGGUGAAAGAUAGACAGCUGAGAGGCAGGAGUGUCUUUUUACUUUUCAACAUCUCUACCAGUGUAGACACCUAUUAAUUAUUUAGAUUUGGCCAUAGUCAGGUUUUGAUUUGACAUAGAUGGUGCUAUCCCUAGUGUCCCUCCUUUUCUCCUUCCUCAGUAUGGAAAACAGCAUGGAGGUUCAUCAAAAAGUUAAAAAUAGAACUACCAUAUAACCCAACAAUCCCACUAGUAGAUACAUAUCCAAAGGAUGUGUGGUGAAUCUUUAACUUUAUGGCUUACUUAUCAAUGGAACAAUAAGCUUCCGAUUUCCCUUGAAUCCAGUGGCCACACACAGAGCAAGAAACUCUAAAGGUCCUCAAUCUCUUUAAAUAUUUAAGCCAGCCCACAUUUCUUUCCCUGACUUGGUGUUUUGUCACAUUUGGAAUUUUUUUUUGUUCUAUGUAAACAUAGGACAGAUUAUAAACUCAGUACACUCUCCAUAUUUAAAUAUGUUCAUCAGGAUUUUAAAGACAAAAAUUAAAACAAUGAUC
rnacentral:lncRNA from 1 species